rnacentral:tRNA from 1 species
GCCCUUGUAGCUCAGUGGUAGAGCUCUCCCUUGGUAAGGGUGAGGUCACGAGUUCAUAUCUCGUCAAGGGCU